GACGGACCCGCACAAGCGGUGGAUCAUGUUGUUUAAUUCGAUGAUACGCGAAGAACCUUACCAGGUCUUGACAUCCCCCGCGAUGCUUUAGAGAUAAAGCGGAGGUAUUCGGGGAGACAGGUGGUGCAUGGUUGUCGUCAGCUCGUGUCGUGAGAUGUUGGGUUAAGUCCCGCAACGAGCGCAACCCCUAUUGCUAGUUACCAUCAUUAAGUUGGGGACUCUAGCGAGACUGCCAGUGAUAAACUGGAGGAAGAUGGGGAUGACGUCAAAUCAUCAUGCCCCUUAUGACCUGGGCUACAAACGUGAUACAAUGGCUGGAACAAAGGGAUGCGAAGCAGUGAUGUGGAGCGAAACCCAUAAAAACAGUCUCAGUUCGGAUUGAAGUCUGCAACUCGACUUCAUGAAGUCGGAAUCGCUAGUAAUCGCGGAUCAGAACGCCGCGGUGAAUACGUUCUCGGGGUUU
rnacentral:rRNA from 1 species